UACGUAGGGUGCAAGCGUUAAUCGGAAUUACUGGGCGUAAAGCGUGCGCAGGCGGUUAUGCAAGACAGAUGUGAAAUCCCGGGCUUAACCUGGGAACCGCAUUUGUGACUGCAUAGCUGGAGUACGGCAGAGGGGGAUGGAAUUCCGCGUGUAGCAGUGAAAUGCGUAGAUAUGCGGAGGAACACCGAUGGCGAAGGCAGUCCCUGGGCCUGUACUGACGCUGGAGGUGACGAAAGCGUGGGGAGCAAACAGG
rnacentral:rRNA from 1 species